CGGGCGGCGCCGCCAGCAUCGCAGGCAGGCGGGCGGGCGGGCGGGCGGACGCGCCGCUCUGUUUGGGAAACGAGCAUCGUAGCCCCAGACGACGGAAGUGUACCUCUCUCAAGUGACUGAACUCUCGAGACUCAAAUUUCGUCAUCCACAAAAUGAGGUUAAUGAUCCUUACAUUUUAGAGCUGUUUGAAGAUGAAAAGAAAGAUGUGUGUAAAUUACCUACGUGCCUAGCACUGGCCUGGCUGCUGGGAUCAAGAAGCUAGGAGGCAGUGAAAAGUGUUAUCAGGCUUGCAUAAGACCAACCCCUCCCUAAAGAUGUUCUGGAGAUCAAGCCAAAUAAGGACUACAUAAAAUCAAUGAAAGUAAUGCUGGAGAUGGCAAAGCCUUCGACAAACAAGAUUUAGCCAGGUCAGAGUACCUAAAAACUGAAGGAAAAAAUCAACAAGGAUGGUAACAAGGAUAUAGCAGAAAUGAUGGUGUGUGUCUUCCAAGGCCAGGUGUUAAAAGACAUUGUGGCUUUUGCUUUGCUGCUUCUUGGAUCACUCAGUUUGGGGAAAGCUGACUGCGAUGCUGUGAGGACACACAGGCAGCUUUAUGGAGAGCUCUACGUGGCAAAGGACUGAGGCCACCUGCCAACAACCAGCAUCAGCCUGGCGGCAGGUAAAUGAGUCAUGCCACUCCUCCAGGCCCAGUCAAGCUUUCAGAUGACCGUAGCCCCUGAUACCAUCUUGAUAACAACUUCACAAGAGACCCUGAGGCAGGGUCACCCAGCUAAGCCACUCUCAGAUGCCUGAUUCAUAGAAACUUAAUGAGUUAAAUAUUUAUUAUUUUGGGCCACCUUUUGAGGGUAAUUUGUUAACACAAGAUAAUACAUCUGCUUUAGAGAUAGAGUUUUAGGAGUCAUUCCGCAGCAAUCUAAAGAGGUAAUAAUACAGCAUUGAGAUUAAAAGCAUGGGUUCUAGAACCAGACUGUCUGGGCGUAAAUCAUGUCUCUGCCAUUCAACCUCUGGGCCUCUAUUUUUCUUAUUUGCAAAGCAAGAAAAUAAAAAUUGUACCUAUCUCAUUCUAAAAAAAGGAUUAAGUGAGUUAAUGCAUAUAAAUUAAUUAGAAUAGUGCCUAGGACAUAGUUCACAUUCUUAGCCAUUAUCAUUAGAUGAUGCCGCUUUGUAUUAUCAUUUAAGUAUCAAUAGUACUGUAGUUACAGGCAAGCAACAGAAUUGAAAGUUCUCUGGAAGAACAUGGAGUAGUAAAAAGAAGCUGGCUGUAUACAUCAAAGCUGUAGCGCUUCGGUCGCUCCAAGUUUAGUUACUUCUAAUUUCAAGGUCUAAUGGACUUCCAGGAUUUUUCAGGUGUUUCCACACCACCAUUUUCCCUGCAACCCAAACCAGAACUCUGAACUUAUCCUAAACCCUUUCCUAUACCUGGUCCCUCAUGUCCAAUCCCUCAGUCCACUUACAUUGAUUAAGGCUCCAGUCAGUGCCAGUCACUGUUUCUAGAGGCCAGAACAGAGGCCAGAACAGUGAAUAAGACAAAGUCUCUGCCCUAACACAACUCACAUUCUGUCUCAUUCUAGUGAGGGACACAGCCAAUCUGCAAACAAGAAUAGAUUAUACCGUCAGAUAACAGUAAGUGCUGUACAGAAAAGUGAGGAAGGGUAAGGAGAUGGAGAGGGGGAACGGCUUUAGGAAACCUAACCAUGUCUGUUAACUUUAUGUCCUAAGUCUCUACACCACAUCCUUUCCUUCCCGCUGCCAGAAUCAAGACCCUUCAGUAUCCCUGUCUGGAUUGUUCCACCUGUCUCACCACCUUAACUUUUCAUGAAUCACUAGAUCUCUGUCUGAUCACAAUAUAUCCUGGCUCAAAGUACCUCAGUGGUUCCCUCUCCAGACAGAGAAUAAAACUAAGCACUUACAAACUCUCAGCUGAUAACCUUUCUUCCUGUUUCACUGAACAAACUGAAGCGACCAGAAGAGAGUUUUCAUUCUCCAGUUGCACACAUGCCUGAGUUCGUGUCCAUAUGCUCUGCCUGUCCCUGCAUUUUUAUGCAUGAACUGUCCUCAUUCCAGUCUAAAGCCAUUAUUUCCACUUAUGCACUAGACCCCAUCCUCUCAACCACUCAAGGGCAUUGCUCUAUCAAUCUUCCCCUUUCUUUUCUACAUCAUCAACUUCCCCCUCUUUACUGGACCAUUCUCAUUAUAAGCAUAUUAUUUCCGGCACUAUAAAAAACCCUGGUGACUCACUUCUCCCCUGGUUACAACCCCACUUCUCUUUAAAGAAGAACUACUUAAAGAGUUGUCCAUGUUCAUUGUCACUAAGUCCGCUCUUUCCAUUCUUUCUUGAAUCCAUUCCAAUCAUGCUUUUGACCUCGAAACUGCUUUUGUGAAGGUUACCAGUGACCUCUGCGGUGCUAAAUCUAGAGAACAGUUCCCAGUCCUCAUGUUCAUUGAUUUAUAAGCGUAGUUUGACACAAGUAAUCAGACUCAACUCCUUGAAAGACUUUCUCUACUUGUUUCCAGACAUUGCAUAGUUUCCCAUUUUCCUACUACCUCACUGGCUUCUUUUUCUCAAUUUCCUUGUUUUUAUCCCAAAGAAGAUUGAGGGUCUGAUGUACACGCAAUCAUUUGUUGAUAACAUUCAGUCUCAUGGCCUUAAAACCCACCUGCCAGGAUAUGCUUGUAUCUGCUAACUUCCUAUCCCCAGCCCAGAACUCGCUCUUGAACUUGUACAUCUAGCUGCUUUCCCAAGCUCCAUCCUCCCUCCUUUAUGUAAUAGUAGAUGACAGUGCCAUCCUUCCAGAUCUCAAACCAAAAACCUUGGAGUCAGUUUCUCUCUUUCACACCAAGCCCUCACAGUCUCCAAGCCCUUGCUCAAAUGUCAUCCUUUCUUUGAGUUCUUUCCAAGCUACUGUAUUUUAAAUUGCAACCUCCUUCUCUGAUUUAUUCUCCAUAGCACUCCUCACAGUCUGACAUGGAGCAUUCACUAAUUUGUGCCAUUUUCCUAGGAAUGAGAUACUGCUUUGUUUGUUUGUUUGUUUUUGGUUUUAUUAGAUAAAGUUGUUUAUUUAUUUAUUUAUUGGCUGCAUUGGGUCUUCGUUGCUGCAUGCCGAGACCAGCUCGGCGACUCGAGGUGAGUGACGGGUGCCGCAAGCUUGAAGAAAACACAGACACAGACUGAAGAGAAAGAUGGGACCGGGGGACUCAAGACCUCUAGGAUCAAGAGCCUUGCUGAUUCAUCCCAUGUUGCUUUUAUUUGUUUCUUGGCUAACACUUCCCAGGUUAAUCCCAUAAACAAUCAAAGGCUUCACAUGACUGGGGCAAUGAUCUUUGCCUCCUGGGCCCGAUUUGAGCAGGUGUGGAUCUGAGCUGGGCAUGGAGAGCAAAACAGCCCUGGGGGCAGGAGACCUCUCUCAGAUAUUAGGGGUCUGUGCCCCACCCCUGUUGGCCCCUCUGCGACUGUGCCUGUCUUAGGUUGUUCCUCCCCUGAGGAAUCUUACCUGUCUUUGGCUAACCAGUCAUCCUCCAGGGCCAAACAGGGUGAUAUGAGGAAGGGUAGGUGUGCAAGUGAGAAAGGGGCUGCGCCCCCAGAGAGGGCCAAUCCUCUGCCUAUGCCCCCAUAGUCUCCAUGCCCCGCAUCCUCAGCUCCUCCACUGCUCAAGCAGGACAUUCUGAAUCCCAUCGCUCGGCCCACAUACUUUAACAUUUUCAAGGUUUCAGAAAGACUCCUGAAUGUCUUCCCACAGCUGCACAUGGGCUUUCUCUAGUUGUGGCAAGUGGGGGCUACUCUUUGUUGUGGUGCAUGGGCUCCUCAUUGUGGCGGCUUCUCCUGUUGUGAAGCAUGGGCUCUAGGCACGUGGGCUUCAGUGGUUGUUGCACAAGGGCUCAAUAGUUGUGGCUCACGGGCUCUAGAAUGCAGGCUCAGUAGUUAUGGAGCACGGGCUUAGUUGCUCCACGGCAUGUGGAAUCUUCCUGGAGCAGGGAUUGAACCCGUGUCCCCUGCACUGGCAGGCGAUUCUUAACUACUGCGCCACCUAAGAAGUCCCGAGAUACUGUUUUUGACUUAGAAUCUUGGCUGGGAGUGAAGAGAGGGCAGUUUUAGGGGCUUCUGCUAGGCUUUCCCCACUAAGAUAAUUCUUACCUCCCAGGCCAAGGACCCAAUAUGGGUUUUGCCAAGUGUGUCUAUUCCAGUAAUACAUUUGGGGACUAGGGAAGUGGGCAUGGGGGUGGGUCUGCAGAGCCAGUGGACCCACUGUGAGUUGAACUCCCUUCUUAUUUCAUCCCCAUAUGCCUCCCUCUGCAAGGGGGUCCAUUCUAUUGCUUCAGGUCUCUGAGUAUCAGUUUCAAAUCAGACCCACUGUCCAACGGUUCUUAAAAUAUGUGUUUAUUGCCUUUCCCUGGUGUGCAGCUACUGGUUUCUUGGGCUGGGGCAAUCGCUUCAUGUUCCCUAGUAUGUUAGGGCACUUCCUCCCAUGGAUCUGCACUCAUUUUUAGUUAGUAGUUUCCAAGUUGGAAAACUGGUUUAGGUUCAGAAACUUAGCAAAUUGUGACAUUUAAAAAAUAUAUUUUAUGUAUGUAUGUAUGUGUGUGUUGGCUGCAUUGGGUCUUUGUUGCUGCGCAAGGGCUUUCUCUAGUUGUGGCGAGCAGGGGCUAUUCUUCGUUGUGAUGCAUGGGCUUCUCAUUGCGGUGGCUUCUCUUUCUGUGGGGCAUGGGCUCUAGGCACACAGGCUCAGUAGUUGUGGCACACGGGCUUAGUUGCUCUGUGGCAUGUGGGAUCUUGCUGGACCAGGGAUCGAAACCGUAUCCCCUGCAUUGGCAGGCGGAUUCUCAACCACUGCGCCACCAGGGAAAUCCUGUGACUUUUUAUUGAGCUAACUAUUUUCAUCCUCCUGUUUAUCCAUCCUUGAUUUCUUUUUCUCCUUUUUAAAUAACUUUACUGAGAUAUAAUCCACAUAGCAUACAACUCACCUGUUUAAAAUGUACAGCUUAAUGGUUUUUAGUGUAUUUACAGAUAUGUGCAACUGUCUCCGCAAUUUUGGAGCAUUUCCCUCACCUCAAAAGGAAACCCUGUGCCCUUUAAGGGAUCACUGCCUUAUCUCCCCCCACCUGCCCCAGUCCUGAGCAAUCACUAAUCUACUUUCUAUAUCUAUAUAUUUGCCUAUUCUGGACACUUCAUGUAAACUAAAUCAUACAAUACGUGUGGCCUACUGUGUCUGGCUUCUCUUGAAGAAGAAAAUUAGAAACUUGCACUCAGGUAAAAAUAACUCCAUGCUCAUUCUGCUUUUGUAAAAUAUGCUUGCUGUGCCAAAAAGGAAAAACAAAAACAGGAUGACCUAGCCAUCAAAUGUAACCAUAGGAUGUUUUGCUAAAUAUGGAAUGUUCUGCACCUGCUCUUGUAAGUUUCUGUUUGGAAACUUCCGUGCUCUGUAAACCAAGUAACCAAUCUACCCAUGCUAACUGUAAACAUGUGCACAGACCCCUAUAAAAGUAAAGCUCACCCUGAGCUUGGGGCCCAGAACUUUGGAGUGUUAGCUGGUCUGGGGCCGCCAGCUUAAUAAACCUGAGUUCU